UUAUUAAUAUUUUUAAAUAUAUAACUCUUAUAUAUUAUUAAUAUAUGUUUAUUAUAAUUUUAAAUAUAUUUAAUCUAUAUAUAUAAAAAUUAUAAUAAUAAUAUAUAUAGUAUAUUAAUUAUUAUAUAUUUAUUAUAUUUAUUAAUUAUAUUUAAUUGAUAUUUGAAGGGCAAAUAAGAAAAGUAUUUAUUAUAUGAAGGGUAUAUAAAAAAAGUUAGUUAUAAUACGAGGGUAUAUACGAAUGGGCAAAAUGGUAAUUUUUCAGAGAUAACGGCAACCGUUAACCUCUCACUAACGGAAUUUAACUCUAGGGGUAUAUUAGAAAGAACUUGGAACAUAAGAAGGGUAUUUUCAAUAUUAGCCUUCUAAGAGGGGUAAAUAAGAAAACUGGAAACUUUUUAGGAGUAUAUAAGCAAUUGCCCCUAUUCUUAUAUACUUCUGAUUUACUACCAUUGGUAAUGCAAAGAGUAACUUGUUGAUGCACAUACUUCAAAAAUAUCUAUGAAUUU
rnacentral:lncRNA from 1 species